UGUCCCCCAUUGUCCGUUAUAAAACAACUCCAGUCGACCAUCGGGACCUAACCCAGUGGUGCCAGAACUAUUCACAAGUCUCAAAUCUUCAUCUAAAAACGAUCACAAUUAUGAAUUCCAAUAGAAUUGUGUGGGCAGUCAUCUAGUCUAGUUUCAGAUCCAAAGCAACCAAGCUCGUCCAACCAUAUCGGUGUGGAUGCUGACACUGUUAGGGCACUAUCGUAAAAAUAUCGGAUACGUACCUUCAUGUACGGCCACGAAGACUUCGUCCUGUUGUUCCUCGUUAAUCAUUCAAGUGACCACAAAAUCAACCGCUAGAGGGAAGUUGAAUCUAAUCAUUCUCAGCUGUUCCACAGCAGUGUAGUAGUCAAC